UCAUUAUUGAAAUAAACCUGAUGGGUUGUUGCUGGUUCUUCAGUGAACAUAUGUGCACACUUGUCAUUUUAUAUCAUCACCUGUGCACCUUUUGUAGACCUGAAUGACUUUCUGAGUGCUCUCCAGCAUUCAGGUUUGAGGAUUGACAUCUUUGUCCUUCUUUAUAUUUUCAGGUCUAUGUUUCUUCAUAUACCCUGAUGUAUGUUGUAGAAUUUGAAAAUAGGUCCUUGUGCCUAUAAACUCAUACAACUUUCAGCAACGGAUCUCUUGGCUCUCGCAUCGAUGAAGAACGCAGCGAAAUGCGAUAAGUAAUGUGAAUUGCAGAAUUCAGUGAAUCAUCGAAUUUUUGAACGCACCUUGCGCUCCUUGGUAUUCCGAGGAGCAUGCCUGUUUGAGUGUCAUUAAUAUAUCAUUCUCUUCAGCUUUUGCUUGUUGAGUUUGGAUGUGGGGGUGAUUAUAUCUUUUUGCUGGCUUCUUUUUCUGAGGUUGGCUCCCCUAAAAUGCAUUAGCGGAACCAUUGUUGACCGUUCAUUGGUGUGAUAGCUAUCUACGCUAUUGACGGUGAAAAGCAUGUGUUUAGCUUCUAACAGUUCAUUCACUUGGACAAUAUUUCACUAAUGUGACCUCAAAUCAGGUAGGACUACCCGCUGAACUUAAGCAUAUCAAUAAGCGGAGGAAAAGAAACUAACAAGGAUUCCCCUAGUAACUGCGAGUGAAGCGGGAUAAGCUCAAAUUUAAAAUCUGUCAGUCUCUGGCUGUCCGAGUUGUAAUCU
rnacentral:rRNA from 1 species